rnacentral:rRNA from 1 species
UACGGAGGGGCUAGCGUUAUUCGGAAUUACUGGGCGUAAAGCGUGCGCAGGCGGUGAUGUAAGACAGUUGUGAAAUCCCCGGGCUCAACCUGGGAACUGCAUCUGUGACUGCAUCGCUGGAGUACGGUAGAGGGGAUGGAAUUCCGCGUGUAGCAGUGAAAUGCGUAGAUAAUGCGGAGGAACACCGGUGGCGAAGGCGGCCUGCUGGGCAGUGGCUGACGCUGGAGGCGCGACAGCGUGGGGAGCAAACAGG